rnacentral:rRNA from 1 species
CUUGGUCAUUUAGAGGAAGUAAAAGUCGUAACAAGGUUUCCGUAGGUGAACCUGCGGAAGGAUCAUUAUUGAAAUAAACCUGAUGAGUUGCUGCUGGUUCUCUAGGGAGCAUGUGCACACUUGUCGUCUUUAUAUUUCCACCUUGUGCACCUUUUGUAGACCUGGAUAUCUCUCUGAAUGCACACAAGCAUUUGGGUUUGAGGGGUUGACUUUUUUGGUCUCCCUUUAUAUUUCCAGGCCUAUGUUUCUUUCAUAUACCCCACUUGUGUUAUAGAAUGUAAUAAAAUGGGCCUUUGUGCCUGUAAAGCUAUACAACUUUCAGCAACGGAUCUCUUGGCUCUCGCAUCGAUGAAGAACGCAGCGAAAUGCGAUAAGUAAUGUGAAUUGCAGAAUUCAGUGAAUCAUCGAAUCUUUGAACGCACCUUGCGCUCCUUGGUAUUCCGAGGAGCAUGCCUGUUUGAGUGUCAUUAAUAUAUCAACCUCCUCAACUUGUGUUGAGUGUUGGAUGUGGGGGUUCUUUCUUUGCUGGCUUCACGGUCAGCUCCCCUGAAAUGCAUUAGCGGAACAACCUGUUCACUGUUCAUUGGCGUGAUAACUAUCUACGCUGCUUGUUGACAGUGAAGCAAGUUCAGCUUCUAACAGUCCAUUAAAUUGGACAAAUUUUUAUUAAUGUGACCUCAAAUCAGGUAGGACUACCCGCUGAACUUAAGCAUAUCAAUAAGCGGAGGA